CCUACGGGAGGCAGCAGUGGGGAAUAUUGCGCAAUGGAGGAAACUCUGACGCAGCAACGCCGCGUGGGUGAAGAAGGUCUUCGGAUUGUAAAGCCCUGUCGGGAGGGAAGAAAAGCACAUGGUGAAUGUGUCUGACGGUACCUUCGAAGGAAGCACUAGCUAACUCCGUGCCAGCAGCCGCGGUAAUACGGAGAGUGCAAACGUUGUUCGGAAUUAUUGGGCGUAAAGGGCGCGUAGGCGGCUUGGUAAGUCAGAUGUGAAAGCCCUGGGCUCAACCCGGGAAGUGCGUUUGAAACUGCUAAGCUUGAGUGCAGGAGGGAGAGGUGGAAUUCCAGGUGUAGGAGUGAAAUCCGUAGAUAUCUGGAGGAACACCGGUGGCGAAGGCGACCUCUUGGCCUGAAACUGACGCUGAGGCGCGAAGGCGUGGGUAGCAAACAGGAUUAGAUACCCUGGUAGUCCACGCGGUAAACGAUGCUCACUGGGUGCUGGUGGCAGACGCUGUCAGUGCCGUAGCUAACGCGAUAAGUGAGCCGCCUGGGGGUAAGGUACGGUCGCGAGAGUUAAACGUUACGAAGAAGUUAGACGGCGNGAGACGNGCGACGGACGACGACGAGGGAGGAGG
rnacentral:rRNA from 1 species